UGGGGAAUAUUGCACAAUGGGCGCAAGCCUGAUGCAGCCAUGCCGCGUGUGUGAAGAAGGCCUUCGGGUUGUAAAGCACUUUCAGCGGGGAGGAAGGCGUUAAGGUUAAUAACCUUGGCGAUUGACGUUACCCGCAGAAGAAGCACCGGCUAACUCCGUGCCAGCAGCCGCGGUAAUACGGAAGGUGCAAGCGUUAAUCGGAAUUACUGGGCGUAAAGCGCACGCAGGCGGUCUGUCAAGUCGGAUGUGAAAUCCCCGGGCUCAACCUGGGAACUGCAUUCGAAACUGGCAGGCUAGAGUCUUGUAGAGGGGGGUAGAAUUCCAGGCGUAGCGGUGAAAUGCGUAGAGAUCUGGAGGAAUACCGGUGGCGAAGGCGGCCCCCUGGACAAAGACUGACGCUCAGGUGCGAAAGCGUGGGGAGCAAACAGGAUUAGAUACCCUAGUAGUCCACGCCGUAAACGAUGUCGAUUUGGAGGUUGUGCCCUUGAGGCGUGGCUUCCGGAGCUAACGCGUUAAAUCGACCGCCUGGGGAGUACGGCCGCAAGGUUA
rnacentral:rRNA from 1 species